UCUGCCGCAGACAUGAGAGGAUCGUGUUAAGUGUGUUCCGUAUGAGUGACUCUGUUUUCGGGAUAAAUAACUUGCUGAAGUCGACACAACACUGUUUCCCUGGAGGAGAAGAUGAGUGCGUGGGAAAGCAAAGCCGCGGGCCCGGUGUGGAGGAGUCGAGGCGGAGAAGACAGGUGCACAGUCCCUGAAUUAAGGAAGUUUCCGUCUCUUCCCAGCUCUGAUGAAAAUGGCCGGCGGAGCGAGGCCUGAUUCCUGCACACAAUGACACAGUCACUGCACAUUACGCCGAGACUCGCUGAAAGUCCACAUUUGCAGUGCGGGAAAACGACGCCAUUGUACCUGCCUGUACUAUGACGUACUAAGAACCACUAUGAGCCAGUAUGAAGGAACUUCCAGUUCAUCCUUACAGACCUUGCAUCAGCAUUGAGGAGUCGGUAGAGAAGAAAGAGGCUGAUUGAAGCGGGACAGAUGACAUAGAUCCAUCCUUCCUCAGCCAGGAGCUCACCGACCUGUGUGCCACACUUCAAAUAAGACUAGAGGCUACACUGGAUCUCACAGCUACACACCACAGACGUCUACACA